rnacentral:ncRNA from 1 species
GGAUCAACGUAGAUCUGGAAUAGUAGCUUGAAUCGAUCUUUAACAGAGAGGGAACGGUGCUGAGAAGUUCCUACUGACAUCUUCAAGUGAACCUGCCGAUUUAGUUCUGUUUCAUACAGCGGUUCAUACCGUUAUCAUGAUUGAGUGUAAAGCUGUGCUUUAAAUUAGGGUGGUACCACCAGGAAUGGUCCCUAAC